CCUGGUGGUCAUGGCGGGGCGGCCGCACCCGUUCCCAUUCCGAACACGGCCGUGAAACGCCCCUGCGCCAAUGGUACUUUGUCUCAAGACACGGGAGAGUAGGUCGCCGCCAGGU
rnacentral:rRNA from 1 species